GACUUAGUUGAGUUGAAUUGAGUUUUAAUAAAUGUUUUGCCCUCAAUGGUAGUCUUUAUUAGUAAUACAUGCAUGACUAGAGUACCCUGAAUACCAUUAUUAUGAACAAUUAAACUGCUUGAUUUCAGCAUGUAGAGGUAAAGAUGUUUUCAUCAUUUUAUGUUGUAAAACAUUUGGUUUUCCUCUAGAGAGUUGUUUGACGUAGUGUCAUAUGAUAGAUUAAUUGAAAAAUCCUCUAGAGAGUUGUUUGACAUAGUGUUGUAUGAUAGAUUAAUUGAAAAAUAUAGUUUUAUAUGUUUGGUUAUUACUUUCUGUUCUCUCUCUCUCUCUACCUCUCUCGAUCUAAUCUGCGCUUUUCACUUCCCUACAAAGACAAUCCUCUCUCUUUCCAUUUUAGGGAGCUGCGAUCCUCGGCUUCCAUGGCUACCGUACUCGAUUUCCUUUCCAUUCCUUCCUUUCCUUCUUUCCCCAAAUCUACAGUCUCUCCUUCCCUCACUGCUUCUGCUUCUCCGAUUUCAUCUAUCAGCCAGAGACCCGCCGUGAGGUUACCGGAGGCCAGUGGUCUCAAGAUUCGCUCCUUUGGAUCGGUCACUCAGACUCCCAUUCGUUCUAGACUUGCUCGUGGGAGGAUCGUGUGCGAGACACAGGAAACUGCUGUUGGAGUGCUUGCUGUUAAUGAGAAAACAUGGAAGAAUCUUGUUCUUGGAUCUGAAUCCCCUGUCCUUGUUGAAUUCUGGGCUCCAUGGUGUGGUCCUUGCCGUAUGAUCCACCCUGUAAUCGAUGAACUUUCUAGGGAAUAUACUGGAAAGCUUAAAUGCUACAAGCUUAAUACUGAUGACAGUCCUGCAAUCGCAACCCAAUAUGGAAUUAGAAGCAUCCCAACUGUUAUGAUAUUCAAGAAUGGUGAGAAGAAAGAUGCUAUUAUUGGUGCAGUUCCCAAAAGUACUUUAGUCACUAGCAUAGAUAAGUUCUUGUAAAGGGGGAGAGUGAAGAGAGCACUUGCUGGAACUAAAAUCUUCUUAGAAUUGCUUUCUUCUCUCUUUAGCUUUAACUCCCCAAGUUGAGAUGCUUUGCUUCCAUAAUAAACUCAAUUAUUCCUCUGUAUAGUACUGGAAGCAGCUGUGUUUUAUUUUAUCUUUAUAUAAUAUUAGAUAUAUCACUUGCCUAUUCAAACAGUACUUUCAAUA
rnacentral:misc_RNA from 1 species